CCCAACUAUCCCUAUUAAUCAUUACGUCGAUCCUAGAAACCAACAAAAUAGAAUCAAACGUCCUAUUUCGUUAUUCCAUGCUAAUGUAUUCAAGCGUGAGCCUGCUUUAAACACUCUAAUUUUUUCAAAGUAACAGUCCUGAUUCCCCAAGACACCAAAUUAAUGACAUCAUGGUUCGUCAGAAGGUAGGAAUCAAUAAUACCAGUACGUACAAUAGCACGACCAAUAAAUUGAUCCCGAAAUUCAACUACGAGCUUUUUAACUGCAACAACUUUAAUAUACGCUAUUGGAGUGCUCAAAGCAGGCGCUACAGCCUGAACAUUAGUGCAUGGAAUAAUGGAAUAGGACCUCGGUUCUAUUUCGUUGGCUUUCGGAGUCGAGGUAAUGAUUAAUAGGGAUAGUUGGGGAUUCAAGCUUC
rnacentral:misc_RNA from 1 species